rnacentral:rRNA from 1 species
UACGAAGGGUGCAAGCGUUAAUCGGAAUUACUGGGCGUAAAGCGUGCGCAGACGGUUGCGUAAGUCAGAUGUGAAAGCCCCGGGCUCAACCUGGGUAUUGCAUUUGAGACUGCGUAGCUAGGGUGCGGAAGAGGGAAGCGGAAUUUCCGGUGUAGCGGUGAAAUGCGUAGAUAUCGGAAGGAACACCAGUGGCGAAAGCGGCUUCCUGGUCCAGCACCGACGUUCAGGCACGAAAGCGUGGGGAGCAAACAGG